UACGUAGGUGGCAAGCGUUGUCCGGAAUUACUGGGAGUAAAGCGCGCGCAGGUGGUUUCUUAAGUCUGAUGUGAAAGCCCACGGCUCAGCCGUGGAGGGUCAUUGGAAACUGGGAGACUUGAGUGCAGAAGAGGAAAGUGGAAUUCCAUGUGUAGAGGUGAAAUGCGUAGAGAUAUGGAGGAACACCAGUGGCGAAGGCGACUUUCUGGUCUGUAACUGACACUGAGUCGCGAAAGCGUGGGGAGCGAACAGG
rnacentral:misc_RNA from 1 species